GCUAGUCUGUAUUGGAUGAUGGGAAUUUAAACCUCUUCCAGAGUAUCAAUUGGAGGGCAAGUCUGGUGCCAGCAGCCGCGGUAAUUCCAGCUCCAAUAGCGUAUAUUAAAAUUGUUGCAGUUAAAAAGCUCGUAGUUGAAUUUCUGCUGCAUUGCUUGUGUCCCUCUGGGGUCUGUGCAUGUGGCUUUUUUCGGACGGAGUUUCUUUGUCUGAAUGUUUACUUUGAGAAAAUUAGAGUGCUCAAAGCAGGCUUUCGCCUUGAAUAGUUUAGCAUGGAAUAAUAAAGUAGGACUUUGGUUCUAUUUUGUUGGUUUUAGGUACCAAAGUAAUGGUUAAUAGGAACAGUUGGGGGCAUUCGUAUUUAACUGUCAUAGGUGAAAUUCUUAGA
rnacentral:rRNA from 1 species